GAUGAACGCUGGCGGCGUGCCUAAUACAUGCAAGUCGAACGAAACUUCUUUAUCACCGAGUGCUUGCACUCACCGAUACAGAGUUGAGUGGCGAACGGGUGAGUAACACGUGGGCAACCUGCCCAAAAGAGGGGGAUAAAACUUGGAAACAGGUGCUAAUACCGCAUAACCAUAGUUACCGCAUGGUAACUAUGUAAAAGGUGGCUAUACUACCGCUUUUGGAUGGGCCCGCGGCGCAUUAGCUAGUUGGUAGGGUAAAGGCUUACCAAGGCAAUGAUGCGUAGCCGAAUUGAGAGGGUGAUCGGCCACAUUGGGACUGAGACACGGCCCAAACUCCUACGGGAGGCAGCAGUAGGGAAUCUUCCACAAUGGGCGAAAGCCUGAUGGAGCAACGCCGCGUGGGUGAAGAAGGUCUUCGGAUCGUAAAACCCUGUUGUUAGAGAAGAAAGUGCGUGAGAGUAACUGUUCACGUUUCGACGGUAACUAACCAGAAAGCCACGGCUAACUACGUG
rnacentral:rRNA from 1 species